rnacentral:lncRNA from 7 species
AGGUUUCAGCCUUCACAAUUAUAAAGUGUGAUAGAAAGUUUUUGAUGUGAAAUCCACAGUACUUCCUGGCCUGCAUUUCCAGACCAUAGAGUCCAUAAGCAGGACUUUCUGUACUGAGGCUGAGUCCCACUGAUACUCAGGAGUCACUUAGCAGGGCUAGAGAGAAUAUUCAAAUGCCAGCAGUAUAUAUAUAUAUAUUUUUUUUUUUUCCAACCACAUAAACCAUCCUAUCUGGGCUACCCAGACAUAUGAGCAGAAAAGCCCUCCCCUGUUUUGAGCAUGUCCAGACUUCUAUGGAAAAGCAGCAGAAGCUCUCAUCUGUACAUAAGAGACUGAGGAAAGGAUGAAAAGUAAACUCCACAGGCACAAAGGUCUCCUACCGAAAAACAUCUGCUUUCAGAGAGCACUUCUCCAGCUGAGGAACUUUUAGGUGCUGAAACUCAUAAACAAAGAGAAUUUCAAACCACCGUCUGCUGCAGCCACUUCUGGGACAAAAAUGAUUUCUCACAUUUGUCACGCUUGAAUAGGACUGUGACUGAAUGAAAGGGAAACUCAAGAAGGAUUCUCUGUCUGAGUCAUUUUAAGACAGAAUAAGCCACACUGCAGGGGCUGAGAUGAAGGCUUGAUGCAGCCCAGUGAGACACAGCUGUCCAGACUGGGCUCUGCCCAGGGCUCACAUCUGGAUCAUCUCAACAUAGAGAGAUGCCAAUUUUCCAAAAUGAGGAAACCAAAUUCCACCUGCGGCUCUGAAUCCCCCUCCAGCCCCCUUAGUUUCACAGUUAAUUAUGUCUUCAGUGUUUCACUAGAAACACAUCAACUUUUUGUUUUAUCCUAAGUCCUGCUUCAGAGUGGAUUUCAGGGCCAGCACUACAUGUGUCCGAAAAUCUUCCUUUCUAGUACCUUAGUUCCAUGCCUUUCCUCCUCCUUUUGUCCCUUUCAUCCUCAUCCCCAAGCUUUGCUGGCACUGGAAGCCAAAGAAACUAAUCCAUCACAAGCUAUUUGACACGAAAGCAAUUCACAGUCUCUCAGCUCCUGGCAUGUGGACAAGUGUGUUGGAGGAUGACCUAACAUUUAAAUAAUGAUUCACCAUUGAAUACUAUGAGAAAUGGCUGGCAAUUUCAAGGUAAUGCCCUUCCAAAGACAUACAGUAUUCUUUACUAACAUAACUGUAUGUUCACUUGGAGAAUCUUAAAUAAAGUUUAUACUUUGCAG